CUCUGUGGUCUGUUUUCUUUGCAUUGUAGGCUAGGCCUACAAUGUUGUAUUUGCGCAUACAUUGAAGCGGGUACAAUGAAGGCACGAAUCCAGCAUAAAUAGUAGAUAGAUUAACAAUGAAACCAAACAGAUAGGGAAAAUUCAGAAUAAAUUGCAAUGAACACAGUUGUAUCCAAGGUCUAUGUCAUAGCAUAAAAUAACUCAACGCGGGAAAGAGCGCGCCUUUCUAGGCUGCAGGCGAACAGAGGCCAUCCGCCGCGGGACUACAGGGAAUGUCUUGUGACGCUUGGAUCACACCGACAGGGAUUUGCGCAAAAUAGUACGCAGCAUCAUCUGGAUAUGUAUUCAACAAAAGUUCAACAUUAUACUUCUGCUACCAUUUCUGUCAAGCCGCUGUACAUAUAGUUUGACCGCAUAUGUUCAAUACAUCCAACACGCUGCAAGGCAAACGCAGCUUUAACUUAAUUCUGGUGUACCAAAAUGCAAUGACUAUGUCGGUGUGUUCGAAGCGGAAGUGUUAGAAAAUGUUUGAGCUCCUAUACACCGCAUUCAUCCACUCAGAGGACCAAACACCAGAUAAUGACAUGAAUUAAGGAAAGAGACAAAUGUUGCGGCAAGGAAUCAAAACAACCACUUUAACAGUGAACGAAAUGGUAACGUGUGUAGUAGCCUAAUAUCGCUAGAAAUAGUUAAGUUUAACAAAAUGUUAAAACCACAGAAAAAGUUGGAACAUGAGUUCAGCAAAGUUGCUCUCUCACCAGGCCCUGAAGUUGAGAGUUCACCUGUUCUGUCCUGGCUACAAGCUUCUGAGAGUUUACAAUUGGACCGUUUGCUGUUCGGACUCUGAUGGUGAACAGUGGUGCCAAUGCCAACCAAUGGAUGCAAAGACCUGAGCCCUAGGACCAUGCCUCAGGACUACCUGGCAUGAUGACUCCUUGCUGUCCCCAGUACACCUGGCCGUGCUGCUGCUCCAGUUUCAACUGUUCUGCCUGUGAUUAUUAUUAUUUGACCAUGCUGGUCAUUUAUGAACAUUUGAAUAUCUUGGCCAUGUUCUGUUAUAAUCUCCACCCGGCACAGCCAGAAGAGGACUGGCCACCCCUCGUAGCCUGGUUCCUCUCUAGGUUUCUUUCUAGGUUUUGGCCUUUCUAGGGAGUUUUUUCUAGCCACCGUGCUUCUACACCUGCAUUGCUUGCUGUUUGGGGUUUUAGGCUGGGUUUCUAUACAGCACUUUGAGAUAUCAGCUGAUGUAUGAAGGGAUAUAUAAAUCAAUUUGGUUUGAUUUGAUUUGAACUGACUUGCCUAGUUAAAUAAAGGU